rnacentral:rRNA from 1 species
AUUGAACGCUGGCGGCAUGCCUUACACAUGCAAGUCGAACGGUAACAGGUCUUCGGAUGCUGACGAGUGGCGAACGGGUGAGUAGUAUAUCGGAACGUGCCCAGUCGUGGGGGAUAACGCAGCGAAAGCUGUGCUAAUACCGCAUACGAUCUAUGGAUGAAAGCGGGGGAUCGCAAGACCUCGCGCGAUUGGAGCGGCCGAUAUCAGAUUAGGUAGUUGGUGGGGUAAAGGCCCACCAAGCCAACGAUCUGUAGCUGGUCUGAGAGGACGACCAGACACACUGGAAAUGAGACACGGUCCAGACUCCUACGGGAGGCAGCAGUGGGGAAUUUUGGACAGUGGGCGCAAGCCUGAUCCAGCAAUGCCGCGUGCAGGAUGAAGGCCUUCGGGUUGUAAACUGCUUUUGUACGGAACGAAAAGGUCAUAGUUAAUACCUGGGGCCCAUGACGGUACCGUAAGAAUAAGCACCGGCUAACUACGUGCCAGCCGCCGCAGUAACAC